GCCUCGUGUGCUAUUUAUGUGUUGGUUAGAGCAUGGUGCUGAUAACGUCAAGGUCGCAGGUUUGAUCCCUGUAUGGGGCA